GACAGAGGGUGCAAACGUUGUUCGGAAUUACUGGGCGUAAAGCGCGUGUAGGCGGCUAUGUAAGUCGGGCGUGAAAUCCCACGGCUCAACCGUGGAAGUGCACCCGAAACUGCGUAGCUAGAGUCCUGGAGAGGAUCGCGGAAUUCCCGGUGUAGAGGUGAAAUUCGUAGAUAUCGGGAGGAACACCAGUGGCGAAGGCGGCGAUCUGGGCAGAUACUGACGCUGAGGUGCGAAAGCGUGGGGAGCGAACAGG
rnacentral:rRNA from 1 species